GCAUUCUAGCUGUUAACAUCGUUAACUUCAAUGACCAAAACUUUUCAAGUCCUUAUACUCCUUAUAAAUUUGGAAUUUAAUCCAUGUUCUUUUAUUUCUAUGAAUUUAACCCCUAUAUUUUUUAGAUUUUAAAAUUCAGGUCCAAUUGUUAAUUAUGUUAAUUUUUUUGUUAAAUCCAAGUUCAUUCAUUUUUAGCUUAUUAUAUAAGAAAACCGC
rnacentral:lncRNA from 1 species